GUGCCAGCAGCGGCGGUAAUACGGAGGGGGCUAGCGUUGUUCGGAAUUACUGGGCGUAAAGCGCAUGUAGGCGGACCAGAAAGUUGGGGGUGAAAUCCCGGGGCUCAACCCCGGAACGGCCUUCAAAACUAUUGGUCUGGAGUUCGAGAGAGGUGAGUGGAAUUCCGAGUGUAGAGGUGAAAUUCGUAGAUAUUCGGAGGAACACCAGUGGCGAAGGCGGCUCACUGGCUCGAUACUGACGCUGAGAUGCGAAAGCGUGGGAGCAAACAGGAUUAGAUACCCUGGUAGUCCACGCCGUAAACGAUGAAU
rnacentral:rRNA from 1 species